GUGCAGCAGUCGAGAAACCUCCGCAAUACACGAAAGUGUGACGGGGCCAUCCCGAGUGCCGUCCGCUGAGGACGGCUUUUCCCCAGUGUACACAGCUGGGGGAAUAAGGAGAGGGCAAGCCUGGUGUCAGCCGCCGCGGUAAUACCAGCUCUCCGAGUGGUGGGGACGCUUAUUGGGCCUAAAGCAUCCGUAGCCGGCUGGGCAAGUCCUCCGUUAAAUCCAACGAUUCAAUCGUUGGGCUGCGGGGGAUACUGUCCAGCUUGGGGGCGGGAGAGGCCGACGGUAUUCCCGGGGUAGGGUGAAAUCCUAUAAUCCCGGGAGGACCACCAGUGGCGAAGGCUGUCGGCUAGAACGCGCCCGACGGUGAGGGAUGAAAGCGUGGGGGGAGCGAACCGGAUUAGAUACCCCUGUAGU
rnacentral:rRNA from 1 species